rnacentral:misc_RNA from 1 species
AAAUCAAUCCAAGCUAUACUUUUAUAAGGAAACGAUCAACUCUACAAAUCUCCAUAACAGUUCCAACAGUAUUUCUUUAAAAAGAAAGACAGAUAUUGUUGAACAAAAGACAACCCCAAGGGUAGACAGGUUAUGUGACUCGCAAGGGCUAUCCAGGAUGAACUCGCACACCCAUCUGGACUGCACACACAUGCAUACAUGGAGCGUUUGAUUUCUCAGACAGCAUAUGAAUUAAUCUACAGACAGCUAGAGAAUAAUUCCAAAGCUUGUUGCUUCUUAAUUGGGUGGUUUGAAGAAUUUCAACUUCAAUCCACUGUUCACCAUACUCCAGACUCCUCCAAUGGAAAAGGCCAAGCUAAAGGCAAUACCCAACCAACCCAGAAUCCAAUUGAAAUACCAAUUAAAGCUGUACUUAGUAGGUCUUUUAAUGAGAACCCACAUGAAGCAAGGGUAUGCAAAUGUGACUGGAAGGGUAAGUCCCCCUAGUAGACCAGCCAGACUUGAUAGGAAAGGAAGUGCAACACCUAUGAAGAAAGAGAUGAAUCCAUAGAAAACACGAAAUCCAGACCGAACCCAGAUUGAGCACGGGCGGUUGGUACGGCUGGUGUAACCAGCUUCAAAACUGUCAAAAACAGGCAUUGAAUAUAUCUGGAAACUGCUUAAGCAAUUGAACACCACUAACAGAAAUGUCAAUGCAAGAAGUCCUCGAGGAAUGUCAUGGCUGUGGAAACCAUAUAAAGCAUUAAGAAUUCCUCCUGAAGGCAUGAGAUUUCCAUAAGCCCAGAAGCCUCCAAUGGCAAUAGGGAACAGGCACAUGGCAAUGAAGAAAUAAGCAACUUUGGCUCCUUUCCACAUGGGUAUGUGAGCUGGGUGCUUAAAGGUUGAUGGCAUUGUUGCCUGAAUCUCCAGGACUAGAUUAUGCCCUCUGAAAGCAAAGGCUACAAUUCCAAGCGCAUUCAAUACUUGAAAGACAGAAGCAGAAAAGGAUGGCAAGGAAAGGGGUUCAUAGGAGAUUGAAGGUGGCCUUUGUUGACUAACAGAUAGCACCCACACCAUGGUGGAAUAUGUUAUAGCUGUUAUGGCGCCAAUAAGGGAAAGUCCUGCAAUUGAAUUAAGGUUUGGGAGCUGAGACAAAACAAUGCACAGAGAAGUGAAUACCAGGUACCACUCAACUGUUGUAAGGGGAUUCGAAGUACAGAGAGGCCCACAAACUAUUUGGAAGAAGAGUUUCAUGGUCUCCCCUCCUAUAAGAAUCAAAGCUGUUGCAGUUCCAGCUGACAAAUAAACAGUUGGAAAGAGAGCAAGCCAAACACCUAAUCUUUCCCCGAAUGCAGCUUGUGCAAGCUCGACAUAUCUGUUAUACCUCUUUCCCGGAACAGCUUCAU